GUUGACGUUCAUCCGGCGAGAUCUAGGCACAGUUUCCCUUAAGCCGCUCUCGCGCGUUUGUCUGUUCUCGUCGCGUCGUGCAUCCUCUACCGAUUAUUAUUUUUCUCCUCCUCUCCCCUCCCCCGUUCGCGCGCACGAGAUCGUCGGCACGGUUGUGCAAGGAACUGCGAGCGGUAUACACACUAUAUACCCUCGUGUCGUCGUCAUCAUAGUCAUCGUCGCAACCGUAGUUUCUCGUUCGUCGUCGUCGUUGUUGUCGCAACGUCGAGUGCUCUAAUUCAAACGCGUCUGCCCGGUACUCAACGCAGGAUGGCAUUCAACGGAGACGGUCCGCACUCGAAAAGACAGCGACUCGAGGAAUCCGGACAUAGGAAUCACGAAUAUGGCGGAUACGGAGACGAGCCACGUCGUAAAAGAGAAGACAAUAACAAGCCGAAUCACGUCCUCCUCUUCACAAUUAUCAAUCCAGUUUACCC